rnacentral:rRNA from 1 species
UACGUAGGGGGCAAGCGUUGUCCGGAUUUAUUGGGCGUAAAGAGCGUGUAGGCGGCCAGAUAGGUCCGUUGUGAAAACUCGAGGCUCAACCUCGAGACGCCGAUGGAAACCAUUUGGCUAGAGUCCGGAAGAGGAGAGUGGAAUUCCUGGUGUAGCGGUGAAAUGCGCAGAUAUCAGGAGGAACACCGGUGGCGAAGGCGGGUCUCUGGGCCGAUGACUGACGCUGAGGAGCGAAAGACGUGGGGAGCGAACAGG